GGGUGCGAUCAUACCAGCGUUAAUGCACCGGAUCCCAUCAGAACUCUGCAGUUAAGCGCGCUUGGGCUAGAGUAGUACUGGGAUGGGUGACCUCCCAUGAAGUCCUAGUGUUGCACCCU
rnacentral:rRNA from 1 species